CAUCGAGGAUGGGAUCGACGGCGCCAUUGCUCAUUGCAAGAGAUCAUUGAAUGGUUUGUCACAGGUGCCUCUGGUGAGGUCGAAGAGCGAUCAGAGCGAUGACAGAGGCGCGAAAGUGAAUGGAGACCGGUGAUGUAUGUUAAAGCGGUCGGGGGUUUUCCCCCCCACUCUUGUUAAUUAAGAGAGUUUGUAAAGUUGUAGCCGUUUUAUGUUGUGUUUAGUUGAUAAGUUAAAUCUUGGUCUACUUAUGAAAUGAGUUGGUGACGGUUGUACAUAUUGAUAUCAUGAAGAGAUGAGUACGAGGUGCUGCUGCACAUUUUAGUGAAUGAAUUACUAAAAGAGAGAUGCCAAUGAGGAGGUCCAUCAU